AGAGUUUGAUCAUGGCUCAGGAUGAACGCUAGCGGCAGGCUUAAUACAUGCAAGUCGAACGGUAAGGUCUCUUCGGAGAUACACGAGUGGCGCACGGGUGCGUAACGCGUAUGCAACCUACCUUUAACUGGGAAAUAGCCCCGAGAAAUCGGGAUUAAUGUCCCAUACUAUUCUGAGAAUGCAUAUUCUUAGAAUGAAAGCUCCGGCGGUUAUUGAUGGGCAUGCGUGACAUUAGCUAGUUGGUGAGGUAACGGCUCACCAAGGCUACGAUGUCUAGGGGUCCUGAGAGGGUUAACCCCCACACUGGUACUGAGACACGGACCAGACUCCUACGGGAGGCAGCAGUAAGGAAUAUUGGGCAAUGGACGCAAGUCUGACCCAGCCAUGCCGCGUGAAGGAUGAAUGUCCUAUGGAUUGUAAACUUCUUUUAUGCAGGAAAAACAUCCCGGUCGUGAACCGGGACUGAUGGUACUGUAUGAAUAAGCAUCGGCUAACUCCGUGCCAGCAGCCGCGGUAAUACGGAGGAUGCAAGCGUUAUCCGGACUCAUUGGGUUUAAAGGGUGCGCAGGCGGAAUGAUAAGUCAGUGGUGAAAUCUCCCGGCUCAACCGGGAAACUGCCUUUGAUACUGUCGUUCUUGAGUACAGUUGAAGUGGGCGGAAUGUGUCAUGUAGCGGUGAAAUGCUUAGAUAUGACACAGAACACCGAUAGCGAAGGCAGCUCACUAAGCUGUAACUGACGCUCAUGC
rnacentral:rRNA from 1 species